CAGCAAUCAAAGUCAAAAUCGUUUGUCAUGUGUUUCUUAGAACACUAAAUGGCUGUUCUUAAAUGAAUGUCCUUCUGAGAAAGUUGAAGCCUCAGAACUACCAAUUAUGCUUUCACAGUACAUUAUGUGUUGUUACCAUAGAAGAAGCUAAUAUUAUAGGACAGAGUGGUGAGCCGACUGAAACGUGCACUCAGAAGUUCUGCUUCACUGACUUGCUUCAUGGCCUUUUAUUCAGGAUUUCUUCCUCUAUAAAUAUGUGUUCCUUCAUUUUUUUUAAAUGGUCACCACAACAGUAGGUUACCAUAAAAAGUACUUGAGACAAGUCAUCUUCCAGAGUGGCAAGUGAUGGAAAUUUCCAAAAAUAUAAGGAUAGAGUUGAAAAAAGACAAAUGAUAUUCCAUGUGUUCCAGCAAGAAAUGCCUUUGGAAAUAUGCAUACGUUCAUAAUAAUAACUGGAGAAAAGUGAUUCUGCAUUUAUUGGCCAGUUGAUGUUUGUUCAUUUAAAUGUCCAUCUUACUGUCUAUGUAAGAACUUGGCAGUUUUGCUUAAUCUAUUAUAUUAAUUUCUUUCUCAGGUUUGUGACUAAAAUGCACAUGCAUACAGUGAUGCUUGAAAGUUUGUGAACCCUUUACAAUUUUCUUUAUAUCUGCAUAAAUAUGACCUAAAACAUCACGAGAUUUAAACGUAGAUGAAGAGAACCCAACUGAACAAAUGAGACAAAAUAUUAUAAUUUGUUAUUUAUUUAUUGAAGAGAAUGAUGAAAUAUUACAUAUCUGUGAGUGGCAAAAGUAUGUGAACCUUUGCUUUCAUUAUCUGGUGUGACCCCCUUGUGCAGCAAUAACUGCAACUAAAUGUUUGUGGGAACUGUUGAUCAGUCCUGCACAUCGGCUUGGAGGAAUUUUAUCCCGUUCCUCAGUACAGAACAAGUUCAACUCUGGGAUGUUGGUGGGAAACAUUAACUUUAUUCUUCUUUAAUCAUUCUUUAAUAGACUAUUUGUGUGCUAAGGGUCAUUGUCUUGCUGCAUGACUCACUUUCUCUUGAGAUUCAUUUUAUGGACAGAUGUCCUGACAUUUUUCGCUGUUAUAAUUCAGAAUUCAUUGUUCCAUCAAUGGUGGCAAGCAGUCCUGGCCCAGAUGCAGCAAAACAGGUCCAAACCAUGAGACUACCACCACCACAUUUCACAGAUGGGUUAAGUUUCUUAUGCUGGAAUGCAGUGUUUUCCUUUCUCCAAACAUAGCCCUUCUCAUUGAAACCAAAAAUUCUAUUUUGGUCUCAUCUAUCCACAAAACAUUUUCCCUAUAGCCUUCUGGCUUGUCCACGUCUUUAGCAAACUUUAGACAGGAAGCAAUGUUCUUUUUGGAGAGCAGUGACUUUCUCCUUGCAACCCUGCCAUGCACACCAUUGUUGUUCAGUGUUCUCCUGAUGGUGGACUCAUGAACAUUAACAUUAGCCAAUGUGAGAGAGGCCUUUAGAAGUUUU
ensembl:lncRNA